AAAAGACAAAAAUAUAAGCCAAAGGCCGAAGAUCUAAAAAGGGCGAACCAGGAGAUACACAAAAGAUGAGCGCCGCAAUACACAAAACUAACCCCCCCCCCCCCCCCCCGAACCUUAUCGAUCGUCUUCUUCAUGAAGACUUAAGGGAAGCAGCCAUUUUCAAACAUAAAAACACACCAUAAUCAGCUCCUUGUUCAAGCUAACACACAAAAGAGAAGGAACCAUCUCCCCCUCAACCCAGAGCCAUCACACACGCGAACCCCAUAUCCAGCCUACCCUACACCACCUUCCUCUAUGUCUGCCAUCUCUGGCGAGCUCCAUCGACGCACGCAAAAGGAAAACGUGGACGGGAACAAUGCGAAAAUAGAUAGGAAAGGAACAGGUUUGUAACACCUUAAACUCGGCGCAAAAAUGACUGAAGACCACCCCCUAAACAAUCCAAAACAUUCAAAUACAGUCAAUGUUAAGUGAGGUCUCCGUUUAAACUUCGGCGAGGUUUUUCCGGCGAGGUUUCUGUCUCAGACUAUAGCUAUUGCCAUUUUCAUUUUCUCCCAGUUUGCUGCAUGAGUUUAGUAGGUUUGAGUCUCUUAAGGAGCUCGUUUGUUGAAUCUGUCCAAAGCUCCGUUCGUUUGUCGCUAGUUCCGAGGUUGGAGAUUUCUGGCGAGGCUUUCCUUUUGAGGACAAGUUGCCGGUCCUAUUCGAAUUUUCUUUUCCGGUGUGGUUGUGGCUAUUGAAGUUACGGGAGGCCUUGAUAUCCCAUUUCACCCAGGGAGACAAGUCAGUAACUUUGAUUAUGUUUUCUUACUUUGCCAGGAAGUUUGGCUAUAUAAUAAAAGUGUGUUAAAAUAUCAGUCAAUCUCUUGCUUGGUAGCUAAUUUGAGAAUGCAAUGCAUGGUUCCAUCUUUCUUCUUGAGUUGGUAGCUUACUAUUAAUUAAGUUAUUUUUAUAUUAGUGUAAAUGGAAUGUGAUCAUAUAUCCAUUUGUCUGUAGACCAUGCAACUGUGCCAUUUUUCGUAGACUAUUUUUAGUUUGUUGCCAUUUAUUUGAGAAAACGAUGCCUCAGAUUCGUUUGGCUAGUAAUCACUUCUUUGGAUUAAAGUUAUUUCUCUCUUUAAAUGAUUCACUGUCUUCUCAAUAUAUAGACAUGAAAAUUGUCUUUGAGGGUUGCGUGUGCAAUCUUCAAUCAUGCCAAGAAAUGGUUUAUUAAAUUAUCAUAACUACGGGUACAGUUCCCGUGACGUAGUUGUGAUUUGUAAUUUCUAAAAUCCGGGUGUGCAUUUCAUAUGACCCGACUUCAAUUUCCAACAAGGUUAAAUAGAAUGUGUCAUGAACCACGGGUGCAUUUCAUGUAGCAUGGCUUACGAUGUGUUUUAAAUAACCUUGAAAUUUUCCUGAAAUAUUAAAAGCGACUAAAAAGUUAAAAAUGCACAAUAGGUUUAAAAGCUGUAAAAAAUCAGAUAACUAGACCAAUAAUAAUAGUUGAGCAAUCGUGCUAAAUCUACGGAAUCCGGGAAUGCCUAACACCUUCUCCCGAGUUAACAGAAUUCCUUACCCGGAUUUCUGUGUUCGCGGACUAUAAAAUAGAGUCGAUCUUUCCUCAAUUCGGGAUUUAAACCGGUGACUUGGGACACCAUAAUUAUCCCAAGUGGCGACUCUGAAUUUUAAAUAAAUAAUCACGUUUCGAUUGUCACUUAAAUUGGAAAAUACUCCCUUAUACCCUUUCGGGGUAGGAAAAAAGAGGUGUGACAGCUCUGGCAACUCUGCUGGGGAAAAGAACCCAGAAUCUCUGGUUCAAGGUUCAGAAUUCGAGCUUAGAAUAAUUGUUAUAAUUGGAUUUGUUUAUUACUUGCUUUAUUACAUGUUUGGGCCUAAUGUGCUAAAUGUUGCUUUUUACCGCUUUGAUACUAUUUGGAUUAUAUAUAAAUUGCUACGAAACCCUCCUCUCUCUAAGUCUUCUAAAUCAUCUGGGAAGUGUGCACUUCGUGUGACUUCUCUUCUGUUAGAGUCAUAUCCCAAUUUUAGAAUGAGGUUCAGACAAGUUGCAAAGCCGGUGAAGCUUCUGUAUUCUCGGUACGCUGCCCCCCUCCCAGCUCGAGCUGUCCGCUCGGGUAAGCCAGGUCUAGAACAAAUAAACCCAGGUUUUUAAACCUAGAAUAACAUUGCCUCAUGCCUGAUCCCUAGUAGGAAUUCUUGUUUGCGUCACGUGCAUCUGACUUUGGGGACUCAACACAGGGGUUGGGUCCGUCUAGGACAAGUAUAUCCCAAAACAUUAAAAGACCAUCCUGAUGCAUCCUAAUGUGCUACAUGUUGCAAUCUUCAAGGGUAAAAGGGUCACUUGGCGGACCAAUGAUAAUUGAGGGCGAAUGAAAAACGAAAAAAAAGAGGGUGAAGUGUGAGGAUAAAGCGAGUAGGGCCCAAUUAUGUUUUCUACCACAUUUUUGUUAAGAAAAAAAGAGCUUGAAAAUUCAAAAAAAAAAAAAGAUUUUGCACUUUUUCAUCAUUUUCUGAAAAUCAGAAAAUCAAAAAGAAAAGGAAAAGAAAAAAAUCCAAAAAGAGUUUACACGUUUCAUCAUUUUUUUCCAAAAAAGAAGACAAAGAAAAAAUAUUUUCUCUAAAUUAGUUGUUUUUUUAUUAUUUAUUUCUCUGCCCGUAUUCAUUCUACCCAAACUACGCAUACCUGAUUCUCGUCUUUCGAGGUGUGAUACGUAGGCAACCCAUAUAGGGUCCGGUCUUUCUAGAAAAUCUUAGGUUCUUGUCUUCGCGGGGUCUUAGCCAAAUAUUGCAUUUUUAGCCACUCUAGCCACAUAGGUUAAUUUUAGAAGAAUAGUCACAAUCAUGUCUUGCAUGUAUCUAGUAGGGAAUGUUAUUGUCUCACGUAGUGUUGGUUUUAGUUUUUUCAUACAGGUGUGGAUCUACUUACCGGAGUUUGAGCAUGACAGAAAACUCAGGAUCGCUUAUUUUUAAUUUUUAUGCUUUGAGUCUGUUUUUCUUUUUGUGUCGUCUUUUACCUACUAGUUUUGUACAGUAAUGUCGAGUUUUUUGUUAUUGUACUUUCUACUUUAUAUUUGAAAAUGUGUGAUGUAACUCAAAAAUCCAAAAAAAAGGGUUUCACGUUUUAUAUUUUUGUUAGAAGUUUUCCUUAGAAUACUAAUUCUUUUAAGGUGGUUUUCCUUUAGGAAAUUAAUAUCUAGAAAUAAAUAAAAAUUCCUUUUAUAUUUCCCUUAGUAUAUUAAGACUAAAAAUUCAAAAAAAAAAGAAGGAAUUUUCUUUUAGAUAUUGAUUCCAAAAAUUAAAAAAAAAAUUCUUUUGAGGUUCUUGUUUGGGAAAUUGAUGAAAAAUGAAUAGAAAAAAACUCUUUUUAUUUUACUAGAACUUUAGGACAUUGUACAUAGAAAAAAAAACAACAUACUUCAUUUUGUGUUUAUCUUCAGAGUUUAUUCCUUAGGUAGUCAAAAACUGAAAUCCUGAAAUAUUUUCUUUUUAUCUUGUUCAUUUCUCGUUUCGCAAUGAAAUAUUUUCUUUUUAUCUUGUUCAUUUCUCGUUUCGCAAUCUUUCUUCAGGGAUAUCAAAUGAAAAUUUAAAAUAUUUUUCUUUGGUUUAUUCUUUAGAUUUACUUCUUAAACAAAAAACAAAAAUCAAAAAAUAUUUUUCUCUUCUAGGAUUUUUCAUUAAUAGAGUAUUUGUUUCCAAAAGAAAAAAGGAAAAACAAAUCCGUUAAGCUUGAGUUUAGAAUAGGUUAUAGAACAUUAAGUCUAGAAAAUUAAAAAAAAGGAUUUGCUCUUUANNNNNNNNNNNNNNNNNNNNNNNNNNNNNNNNNNNNNNNNNNNNNNNNNNNNNNNNNNNNNNNNNNNNNNNNNNNNNNNNNNNNNNNNNNNNNNNNNNNNNNNNNNNNNNNNNNNNNNNNNNNNNNNNNNNNNNNNNNNNNNNNNNNNNNNNNNNNNNNNNNNNNNNNNNNUAAGAACAUUAAGUCUAAGUAAAAAUUAAAAAAAAAAGGAUUUGCUUCUUUUAUUUCUCUUUUCUCAUCUGAGUAGUCAUUAAGGUAGUAAGAAAAGAAAAAAAUAAAAAGAAAAAGAGAACGUUAGUUUGUUUACUUUAUUUCCUAUCUUCCCGAACUACGCAAAGAUCUGAUUCACGCGGCGUCAUGAUACAUAGGCAACCUACAUCGGAUUCGAUCGAAUUAUUUUUUUAUUUUUAAAAAAAAAAAGGAAAAAAGAGAAAAGAAAGAAAAAAGGGGGUGAAAUUAUGGGAUGUGAGAAAUGAGAGGAAAGAAAAGAGUGAUGAUUAGAAAAGAGUGAUAAGAGGAAAGCCUGGAUUAGUAGGCAUCCUCCACCAUCAGUUCCUAUUAACCACACUGAAAGCCUUGUCACCAAUCUGCCACUGUCACGAGUCCAGGAUAUCUCCCCACAACCUUUUCACACUCCACCCCCCAAAACCACCUCAUAUCCCGCUCCUUUGACCACUCAUGCUUUUGUAGCUCACCCACCUGAUAUAUUUCCUCGAUCCUCUAGCAAGACUGUGUUCAAAAUCCCCGAUGCCCAACACUAUGCUCUAAAACCAAUUUUCAAGAUCUCUGGUCCAUACUUUUACGCUCCUCAUUUUGAGCCUCCUGGUGAGACUGCAAAUCCUGUUAAGAUAGUGGAGCAAGAUGAGAUAUCCAGAAAGCUUAAAGGGUUUAAGAUGCACAAGUUUAAUUUGUAUGAUGGGCGUGGAGAUCUAGUAGCCCAUCUGAGGGGUUAUUGCAGUGAAAUGAAAAGUGCUGGUGGGAAAGAUGAUCUGUUGAUGACAUAUUUCAGUGAGAGCCUGACUGGGAUAGCUUUGGAAUGGCAUACUCGUCAAGAUGUCAGUAAGUGGCAUAAAUGAGAUGACAUGGCUCAAGAUUUUGUGCGACACUUUCAAGUACAAUAUAGACAUUGUCCCAGACCGCUCUUCCCUAUCUCAGAUGGAAAAGAAACCCUAGGAAAGUUUUAGGGAAUUUUGGUUCAGAUGGAACGAACAAGUUGCUCGAGAUAGACCUCCCAUUGAUAGAAAAGAUGUUGUUACACCCCGCCAACAACAAGAUCCAGUGAGCAUUGCUGCUAAACACUUUCAGCCUCAAACUGACCCCAUGAACAUCCCCAAACUCCACAUAAUCCACCCCAAUAUUAUCCUUCGAACAACAUUCGGCCAUCUGUCCAAUCACUGGGUCACUCCAAAAGGCGAGCACGAGCACCGCAGAAUCCUCACUAGCCUCCACCAAAAUUACCAAGUGCCAUAUAACCCACAUUCAAGCCAAUGGUGUAGAAGGGAACAAAGGCUGAAAGAUAAUUUUACACCAAUAUGAGGGUCCUAUGCAAGUUUGUUUGAGAGAUUAAAGCAUUGCGACAUGAUUGCACCUAUUCCUAUAAAUUAUAUAGACCCACAUGAAAGAAGCUUUGACCCUACUAAAAGGUGUAAAUACCAUUCCAAUGCCCAGGGACACAAUGUUGAAGAUUGUCGUGCUUUGAAAAGGGAAAUAGAAAGAAUGAUUCAAGAAGGAAUAAUUGUGGUUCAAGGCAGUAAUACCGCAAGUGUCACACAUAAUCCUCUACAGGUGCAUGACAAUACACAAAUUGUUGGGAUGGUUUGCAAUGACGAAGGGUUGCUCAAAGGAGUCAAUGAGCCACUUGGUGAAGGCAUUGUGAUUGAAGUUGGUGAAGGUCCUAGUGAUAUUGAUGUGGAACUCAGUGGCUAAGAUGCCGAGCUUGGUAAUUGGAAAGACGCUCCUCUCUUGGCUAGCCAGGGAGGAGUCUUGGUGGUUUAUUUUGUUGUCAUUUCUUUUGUCCGGGUUAUUUCAGUGUUGUAAUCCGGAUAUUGUCUUGUGACUCAAACCCUUCUAUCCUUUUAUUUUGCCUAGUUUCUUUAGUCGUAGUAACUUAUUCAGUGUUAUCUAGGUUUGUUCUAGGGUUGUAACCCCAAUGUGUUUUGUUUGUUUUGUUGUUCAAACCCUUUUGCCGUCUAUCUAAUGCAAUUUUAUGUUUUCUGUUAUUUCUAGUCAUUUUUGUUUAGUUCUCUUUUCCUUUUAUAGUUCUUUUCCUGCUGACUCUAGUGACAUGGCAUGUACGCAUAAUUCUUAGCCUGGUCUUAAAAGUUAGUCUAAUCAUGAAACAAUGAAACAAGUUUUGAAGAUGAACAUCUGAGGGAAGUAAGUAAAGGGAGUUUGAGAUCAUUUGAAGCCUGAACCAUGUGAAACUGGGGCAGAUAGUUUGGAAAGUUAAUAGGGUGACAAGAAUUCAUUAAGGGAGAGUGCAUCCCGGACGAUCUUAAGCGAGUAACUUUGAGUUCAAGUGUAUCUCAAGUUACAAGAUAAAGUGAAGGAAGUUUUCUCCGAAUUGACGGAGGAUAUCCAUUGUGCAGAGGGAAUCACCCAACGAGGGUUUUGUACUUGACAAGGCGCUAAAGAAAAGUGGAAGGCAUAUUAGUGAUAUCAAUGCUGAAGCUGCAAAAGAAAUAUUAUGCACGAUCAUCAAUUUUCAUUUCAAGUUGCAUGUGUUGUACUUGGCAUUUUUAUGGAUUGGGAGGCCCUCUUUCAGCUAACCAAACACUUAUACCAUUCGAUACCCUUUUGAGCCUGUACUGAUUUCUUUGACUUCCCCUCUUUUGGAAUCAAGUUAUAGUCAUACGAAAAAAAAAGAAAAAAAAAAGAGAAGAGUUCAUAUCCCCAUAGGUUUAUUUUAGAAAGUUCACUUCAAAAGGAAAAUUCAAAAAAAAAGAAGGAAAAAAUAGAGAUAAAGAAAAAAAGGGUAAAAAAGAGAAAGAGAAAAAGAAGGAAACAGAAAAAAAGAAAAAGGCAAAUAGUAACAAAAGUAGUCUUGUGAACUACGUUUGACCUGAUUCUUGUCACCACAAGAUACGUAGGCAGCCUUACGGUUCGGUCAUACCAAAUAAAAUAUUUCAUAAUCCCACGAAGUCGAGAGCGGGGCAGUCUUUCUUAGAAAUUCCAUCUCACAAAGAAAAUGAAAAAAAAAAGAAUCAAAUUCCCUUGUUGUAGAAAUUGGGGCAAAAUUGUUAGAAUGGAUUCCAAAUGUUGUAAAUAAAUUAACCGUGUUGUCUUUGUUAUUUUGAGCCUUUAUGAUAUCCUUUCUUUCUAACCCUGUCCAAAAGCCAUAUUACAGACCAAAAAAGACCUCCCAGAUAAUCUAUCAGAGUGCUGAGUUUAGACAUGCCAAGAGUACAUGAUGUUUUUACCAUGGUUAAUGCCUUGUCAUCUGCAGAAUUAGAGGAAAUGAGAAGAAAAGAACAAAAUAAGAGAGUCUUAUCGGUGAAAACCUUCACAGGCACCAUAAGGCGAUGGUGAGUUGAGAGAAAGAACAAAAUGAGAUAGGCUUGAUGGUGAAAACUCUUCGGACACUACAAGUCGAAUGAGGAUCGUGAAUCAGAUUAGAUAAUCGGAACAUUAAAGCCCAAUUUCACGGUUUAGGGGUAUAACAAGAGUUAGCAUUAGACUUGCUUGACAGAUUAGGCCAUUUAAUCCAAAAGUGCAUGUCAUGGUCAUUAGAGUUGGUAUCCACAUUUGAUAAGUUUCUUCUUUGUAGUUUUCUUGUUAGGAAUCAUCUCUUUCCAUUGUCCUUUACUCUGUUCCUUUUGUCCUGUAUACUUCCUUUUCCUGAGUCGGUUUGGGCAAAACAAGUGAGAAAUGACUUUAAAAUUUGCCACCAACUUUCCAAUUGCACAAAAUGGGAUAUGUUUAUCACAUCAAAGUUGCAUAAGUCAGGAAAGAACAGCAUGCACACUGAGUUGGUAACAAUCAACGUGCUUUGGGAUUCAUGUAAAAUACAAAGGUUUGGUAUGUGUCAAUUCAUAAACAAUGCAACAUAUCAAGGAUGUUGGGUGAACGAAUCAAAGGUAUUUUUUGUGAUAAGGUUGACAGACAAAGUGGUUAACCAAUGACAAGCAAGGUCUUCCAAAGGGAAACCAAUGUUAUCAUGGCGAGUGAAGGAGCAAUAGACCUCAAGGCCAAGGCUAGUGGCAUACGUAGGAAAGAAUAGUACACGCACUGAGCUGGUAACAAUUAACAUGCUUUGGGAUUCAUGUGGAAUACAAAGGUUCGGUAAACGUCAAUUCAUGAGCAAAAUGCAACAGAUAGAGGAUGUUGGGUUUGAACGGAUCAGAGGUAUUUUCUGUGAAAAGGGUGGUAGAGAAAGUGGUUAGUCAAUAAAUAAGCAAGGUCUUUCGAGUUGAAAUCAAAGUCAUCAUGGGAAGUGAAGGAGCAAUUGCCCUCAAAUUCAAGGCCACAAACCAACCACAUAUUUACAAACUCAAAAGUUUUCUUUGUUUGAAACAGGGACGAAAAUUGUGUCCAAAUCAAACCUUAGAAGUUUGAAUUUUUUUCAAGUGUCGUGCCCAAAUUUUGUCAGCAUAAAGGCGGUUUGAGAAGGGGAAAGAAAAAUUUGUUCGAUCUACAGGAACCCUCCAUGAGGAAAAGCAUGGUUCAUGGGCAAGAAAUUUUGUUCGUUCUGCAGAGAUCCUCCAGGAAGAAAGCAUGGCCAAGGUAAGUUUAUUCUCGCUUUUCAAGACUCUCCUGGUUAAUGGGAUUUAAUUUAAAAUUUACAGGACCCUCCUGGAUAAUGGGAUUUAAUCUUAAAAGUUCUCAAUACCCUCCUAGACAAUGGGACUUAGUUAGAAAUUCAAAACAUUCAUGAGUAGCAAGAUCUUGCAUAGGCUCUACCUUGAGGAUAUAUAAGUUGGCUUUGAAGUUUUCUUGCUUAGGAUGAUAUUCAAUUUGAAAUUUUCAGGAGCUUCCUGAAUAAUGGGACUUAGUUUAAGACCUCCAUUAGAUGAUGAGAUUUAGCAUAGUUUCACCGUUAGGAAGUUGAAUUUAGCUCUGAAGUUUUCACCCUUAGGAUGAGAUUCGAUUUUAAUUUUUAGGACCCUUCUGGAUAAUGGGAUUUAGUUUUUAGUGUUCAGGACCCUCCUGGAUAAUGAGAUUUAAUUUAAAGUUCUUAGGACCCUCCUGGAUAAUGGUCUUUAGUUAAAUUUUAAGACCUUCAUAGUUAACAAGAUUUAGUGUAAGUUCUACCUUUAGGAAACAUAGUUUAACAUUAAAGUUUUCACUCUUAAGAUGAGAUUUAAUUGGAAAUUUUCAGGGCCCUCCUGGAUAAUGGUAUUUAAUUUCUUUAAAGAAGAAAAAAGGGGGUUCUCAGGACCCUCCAAGAUAAUGGAAUCUAGUUAAAUUUCAAGACCUUCACAGAUAACAAGAUUUAGCGUAAGUUUUACUUUGGAAAGUAUAAUUCAGCAUUUAAUGUUUUUCACUUUUGAUAUGAGAUUUUGUUUGAAAUUUUUAGGAUAAGGGAAUUUAGUUAGAAUUUAUUUUGAUAACAAGAAUCGGUUAACACUCACAGAUGUUCCCAAUACCAAACUGGGGCAAGAAAAUUUCUUUUGUUUUAUCUGUUUUGUUAAAAUCAGGUGCCCACCUGAAGAGCAAGGAAGAACAACACGAGUUUCAAGAAUAGAAAGUAGUUCAAGUUCAAGCAAUCAGGAAACUACCCGGAGAAACAAGGGAAGCCAGUUCAAAUAAAAACAGUUCAAGUGUUGGAAAUCAGGAGCCCACCUGGAGAACAAAGGGAAAUCAGUUCAAGUGUUGGAAAUGAGGAGCCCACUUGGAGAACAAAGGGAAAGCAGUUCAAGUGUUGGAAAUCAGGAGCCCACCUGGAGAACAAAGGGAAAGAAGUACAAGUUUUGGAAAUCAGGAGCCUACCUAGAGAACAAAGGUAAAGCAAUUCAAGUGUUGGAAAUCAGGAACCCACCUGGAGAACAAAGGGAAAGCNNNNNNNNNNNNNNNNNNNNNNNNNAUUCAAGUGUUGGUAAUCAGGAGCCCACCUGGAGAGCAAAGGGAAACAGUUCAAGUCUCGAGGAAAAACUGUGCAAGUGUUGGAAAUCAGGAGCCCAGGUGGAGAACAAAGGGAAAGCAAUUCAAGUAUUGGUAAUCAGGAGCUCACCUAGAGAACAAAGGGAAAGCAAUUCAAGUAUUGGCAACCAAGAGCCCACCUAGAGAACAAAGGGAAACAGUUCAAGACUCAAGGAAAAACAAUGCAAAUGUUGGUAAUCAGGCACCCACAUGGAGAACAAAGGGAAAGCAACAAUGUUCAAUGGAAGACAGCAAUCGGGAGCCCACCUGGAGAACAAAGGGAAAUAGUUCAAGUCUCAAGGAAAAACAAUGCAAAUAUUGGUAAUCAGGCACCCACCUAGAGAACAAAGGGAAAGCAGCAAUGUUCAAAAGAAGACGGUUCAAGUUCAGCAAUCAGGCGCCACCUGGAGAAUAAGUGAAUUCACUUCAGAAUGUAAUUCAAGUCAGCAACAAAAGAAGCUCGUGGUAAGAAUACGAGUCAACAGUCCGAGAUGAUCAACAAAAGUUAGUCACAAUCCAGAAUUAAAAAAAAAGAAGGAAAAGAAAGAAAGAAGUAAAUCCAAAUGUAGAAGUAGAGAAAGAUGUGAGCUGCUCAAGACAUGACUGAAGUCACAAGCAUGGUGUGUCCGGUUUUGAUCCGAUAAGCUGAAGAAGAGUGAACUAGCACCUGCAGCUAACAAGCAUCAAGGUUCAAAUCUAAAGUCUGCAUGAAGAACCAUUCAAGACUCAAGAUCAAGCUUCAGAAGACUUAUAGAUAGGGAUAUUGUAACUCAUAGUUGAUAGGCCUAGUUAGUCUUUUUCAUUUUUUGAUUUUGAUGUAAUAACAGGAUCGCGGACCGGAACCUCGACGGAACGGCACCUCGAUCGGCUCUCCACCUCGGUAUACUCCAUCACUGUUCUUACUUCUGAACUACACAUGACCUGAUUCCUUUAUAGCCAAGGUUAUGUAGGCAGAUCAGAUACCAGGGCUCGGUCACAUUCCCCUUUCUCUUAGUUUUGGUCUCCCUAAAUAAGGGUCGAGUCAAAAAACCUGUCCAGUCAUUCUUUGUCUGGAAAUACAUUGUAUUUCCAGUCAAAGAGGGGCAGCUGUAGACAUGUGAUUUUUGACCCUCCCUAAGAUUUUUUAGAUUUUAGCAUGUAAAUAUUUAAUUUAGGCCUAAUAUCGUUAUUUCAACUAAUUUUGACUUUUUUACAUUAUUUUAUUACAAAAAAAAUGAAAAUUACAAAAAAAUAGUUUCGUUAUGGUUUUGUAGCCAUUUUUAAUCUUGAAAAAUACCAAAAUAAUAGUUUUAUUUUAAUGGUAAGUCUUAUUUUAAUAAUUAUUUUUACUUAAGUAGGGCUAAUUAAUAUACUUGGUAAUAUUUCUAUAUGGCUAGAUUUUUAGUUAAUUAAGCUAAUUUUUAAGCAAAGCCAGUCAUAAAGGCCCAAGUUUCUAGCCUAUUCCCUGAACCCAAUACCCUAAAACCUUUUUUAAAAACCUAGGGACCUAUUACACAAAAAGACCUAGGACUAAUCAGCAAAAAGAUAAAAAUAUAAACCUAAGGCCGAAGAUCUAAAAAGGGCGAACCUAGAGAUACACAAAAGAUGAGCGUCGCAAUACACAAAACCCCUAACUACCCCGAACCUUAUCGAUCGUUUUCUUCAUGAAGACUUAAGGGAAGUAGCCAUUUCAAACAUAAAAACACGCCAUAAUGAUCUCCUUCUUCAAGCUAACACAGAAAAGAGAAGGAACCAUCUCCCCCUCAACCCAGAGCCAUCACACACGCGCACCCCAUAUCCAGCCGACCCUACACCACCUUCCUCCACGUCUGCCAUCUCCGGUGAGCUCCAUCGACGCACAUAAAAGGAAAACGGGGACGAGAACAAAGUGGAAACAGAGGGGAAAGGAACGGGUUUGUAACACCUUAAACUCGGCGCAAAAAUGACUGAAGGCCACC
rnacentral:lncRNA from 1 species